rnacentral:rRNA from 1 species
GGAAACGGAUAGAGCUAGCGUAUCCAGUCUGUAUUCAGCUGUUCUGGCACGAGUUGCCGGCUCUUCGGUCCAGAGCAAUGGUCGAUUGGUCGGUUCUUCUUGUGCAGGCGCAGUGCAUUUGCAGGCAGAGUGCGCUGAGGCGCGUGAGGUAGUGGCUUGAAGCGUGCUUUGAGAAUAAUCUUCGGAUUAAAACCCGGGCGCGUCUAGAACUAUUUACUUUGCAUGUAGCUUGGAACAUGGCCUACGGGUGUUGGCCAGGUUUGGUUGGUCGUUGGUAACGGUCGCAUGCGACACGUGCCAGUGGCUGGCUUUACUUGGUCCGGACUCACAUGUUCAUCCUCGGUGUAAAAGCUAGUCAUCUAUCCGACUCGUCUUGAAACACGGACCAAGGAGUUUAGCGUAUGCGCGAGUCAUUGAGUGUGAAAACUCAAAGGCACAAUGAAAGUAAAGGUAUCUUCUGAUACUGAUAUGCGAUAUUGUACACCAUGGUGUGCAUUAGCAGCAUAGCCCCGUCUCGAUCGCUUGCGAUGAGGCGGAGGUAGAGCGUAUUCGCUGAGACCCGAAAGAUGGUGAACUAUUCCUGAGCAGGAUGAAGCCAGUGGAAA